rnacentral:rRNA from 1 species
GAUGAACGCUGGCGGCGUGCCUAAUACAUGCAAGUCGAGCGAACGGACGAGAAGCUUGCUUCUCUGAUGUUAGCGGCGGACGGGUGAGUCACACGUGGAUAACCUACCUAUAAGACUGGGAUAACUUCGGGAAACCGGAGCUAAUACCGUAUAAUAUUUUGAACCGCAUGGUUCAAAAGUGAAAGACGGUCUUGCUGUCACUUAUAGAUGGAUCCGCGCUGCAUUAGCUAGUUGGUAAGGUAACGGCUUACCAAGGCAACGAUGCAUAGCCGACCUGAGAGGGUGAUAGGCGACACGGGAACUGAGACACGGUCCAGACGACUAAGGGAGGCAGCAGUAGGGAAUCUGCCGCAAUGGGCGAAAGCAUGACGGAGCAACGCCGAGUGAGUGAUGAAGGUCUUCGGAUCGUAAAACUCUGUUAUUAGGGAAGAACAUAUGUGUAAGUAACUGUGCACAGCUUGACGGUACCUAAUCAGAAAGCCACGGCUAACUACGUG